CUGGUGCCCGACUCCCACGCCAAACUCCUUGAGGAACACUGCAACAAAGCGUUUGAGGACAGGAACUUUGCUCUGAAAAGCCAGCCGCUUCAUCAAAACUGGGCUGUGGAACAGAUGUUUAUAGCCUUCCAGGACCUCUCUCAGGCCUUGCACAAGAGCUCCAGAAGAUGGCAGGAGCGGCAUUGCCUCAGACAGCAGUGGAAAAACAUUUAACACCCGAGCUGAAAAAUGUAGUGAAGCCUGGCAGCAUGUGAGCUGAAGAACCAAAUGGGCCUUUCGUGCUCAUUUGCCUUGAUGAGGACGCUGAACACAUCUAGACAAGCCUUAUGUUCAUGCUUUCGCGGUCGGAGCCACAACACUGAGCUUAAUCCAUUCCAAUUUCCCUUCGCUUUUCCCCAGCUUGGGGUAAUCACCAGGGAAUGGCCUUCAAUGCAGCUAACGCUUGAUGAGGGAGAAGCAGCUUUGGGGGUCCGAUGCUUAACACUGGAUAAGAGCGCUUAUCGUGUUCUUAGCUCCACAGGGCUAUUAUUCACGGUCCCAAGAUUUUAUGGCACCGGGGAAUGGUUCCAAUUACGACGUCGUCAUCCAGGUGAGAGUAAAGACCAAUUCUAAGGCUUUAUUAUUAUAACUUUCAUCUGAAAAAGAUUUGAAGAAAUGAAGAUACCAAGAAUAAUGAAAAAAAUUCAAACUCUAUUACUGGGACUGUAAACUGUAUGCGUAUUUUUCAAGUUAAAGGUGACUGCCCCGGGAAACCCCGGGGGGGCAUGCUGCCAUUUUAUUGUUGCCCUCUCUGCACUGUCAAAGCCUCACUAAAUUGUUUUUUUUGGCAUAAUAAAUGGGCCGCCAUUCCAAAGCUGCAUCACUUCCAAAUUACAGGCAAACCCCUGUUACCUAGUAGGACGAAGGUGCCUUUUGCCAGCCAGGGUAGCUAAGAUGCCACAAAUGCUGUUCUGGACACUUGUGAAGCUUUCAAAAAUGUUCCACCCACAUUUUGAUGCU